rnacentral:pre_miRNA from 2 species
CUAAUACUCCCUCCGUCCGGAAAUAAUUGUCUUAGAGAUGAAUGUAUCUAGACUUAUUUUAGUUAUAGAUACAUUCAUUAUAUUCAUUUUUAAGACAAGUAUUUUUGGACGGAGGAAGUAUCAC